GCCAAACUUGCACCCCUAGUUAAAACCAACCUGAUCUCGGAUGCAAGAUAUAAAUCCAAUAAAGUGUUUGAAACGAAAACUGGGAAUGCUAGUCAUUAGGUUCCAGAUCCAACAGGCCCGGUAGAGAAUGUGGAUGACGAUUAGCUCGCCCCUCCAUUUGGAUUUUCUGAAUUCGUUGAAUGAGCUAUCACACAUUCUCAUUGGGCUUUGCGAAGAUGGACUGGAAACCUUGGUUGAUGACCUUAUGAGAGGCUAGGUACAAUAGCAAAAGGGAAAUCAGACUCAAGCCCACAUGGAUAGAAAGAUGUGCUUGACGAUAGAAUGGAAGGAGAGACCCCAUCAUACAAUUUUUAUUGAGAUAUUGAGUGCUCCAAGCAAGCAGAAAAGAAGAAAGUUGCAUUUACGCCCAAACACAUGAACGGUGAAAUGUCUGCCCCAUUCCUGUGAAAAAGAAAAUCCUACCACUAUUACAUGCCUUUACUUACGAUGUCAUCUUCAUAAGAUCUAUAGUUGAUUGUUUUAGUGGAUUACGUAAAUUAAUUAUUGUCUCUUAAUGGGGCUGUCAAUAAAACAUACCCCCUUCAUUAUGGCCCAGAAGCUACCUAUAAAAUAAUCUCCUUCAAUUAUGACCAAGAAGUUCACACACAGUUGCAGUAACCUGUUCAUACCUUCUUUAUUUUUUGCUUCACAGUUCCUAAUCCACUUUAGUCCAGUCCUUCCAUAAUAACACCAUAACCAAAUUAUGGUUUAAAAUGUUCAGUGGUGACUGGCUGGUGAGUCCUACACGGAAAAGAAAAAAAGAAAAAGGUUCAGUGGUGAGUAAAGUCUAAAGGCAAAAGCUAAAUAACAACACCUUAAGACAACGCCCAGCUGUAGUCUAAAAAGUCUAAAAGGUCUUAAAAGUAAGUGGAUAUCCGGAUAAAGGAGAUGAACCAUGGAUAUGGUGAUGACAGAAAGUAAGGUCACCAUCCCUUCCAUCUCCUGUGAAGGCAGAGCUCUUCCAUCCACAGACCACAACAAUUUGGCUCUUCCUCCUCUCUCCUCCAACAUAAUGGGUUAUUUGUUGGAAGCCCACAUCUGCCUCUGCCAGUGCCACUGCCUCUGGCAGUUGUCUUCUCUCCGGCGGCAUUUCCGGUGAAAAUAUUUGGAAAACCGGCGAAAGACAGGAAAGCAGUUUUGUUGAGUGGGUCAUAGACCUCAGAAGGGGAGAUGUCAUCGCCAUCGCUGCUUUCAACAGGAACCAAUGGGAAGCCAAAGGGAGUUGCCAUAACUCGCUCAGCUGUUAUUGUCCAAUCACUUGCCAAAACUGCCAUUGUUGUUUACAGUGAGGAUGAUGCAUGGUUUCCCUUAUGAAAGUAACUAACAUUCUUCCUUUCACUUUUUGAGUUAGCCCAUAUAUCUAAGUUUGUAGAAAUGGUGAAAUCUGAACAAACACCCCACACUCUCCCGCCCCAAAAAAAAUUAAUAAAUAAAAAAAAUAAAAAAAUAAAAGACAAAGAACUUGGCACUUUGCCACCAAGGGAUGUUCUCAUUUGGUUCAAGCAGUUAUGUUUCAAACCUGCCAAUACACCCUUCUAAUUCAGAAUAAAGAUCCAGGCCAGCUUGUGUGCUUGAUAAGCAAAUGUCCCAUCUGUAUCCAACCAGGCAGAUGGUUUUCUUGGUUGAGUCAGAUCAAGAGUUAGUACCCCUUUAUACUUUUGUAGGUUUGUCUCCCCACACAACCUUUUUGUCUUAUUGGUGGGAUAUCUUCAGGAAUAAGGUGUGUCUUUCAUGUCUCAUCACGUAUUUUUCUUAAAGAAGUACCUAUCAUUUGUUGAUUUGCUCUGUUCAUUCUAUCAUAAACUGUAACAAAUGGUAGAGAACAUAGCAAAAACAUCUUCCUUUUACCUUUUAGCUUAAAUUUAGUUUCUAACAUGGUCUAAAAUCAUUGGGUUUGUACCAGGUCUUCAGUAAAACCUAAACUACCCCUAACUUAGAUCCUGGUUUAAGCAGCACAUGUAAGUGCCUAACAUGCAUUACCUAGGUCUCUAAACAUUUUCUAGCUUCAUUUCAAACAAGGGAGAGGGUUAGGCAUGCCGCUAGCUUUCAAGGAGCUAGCAGUUCAACCAGGGGGGCUGGGAUGGGAGGGGCAUGGGGUUCAUUCCAAAAGGAGAGGGAGAGAGAGUAACACAGGCUGGCACCCAGCUGCGUGCCCAGCCUUUUCCCUUCAAAUAACUAACCAUCUCAGUCCAAAAUUGUAUAAAUAUUUAAGCUGACCUGCUUAUCUAACUCAUUUUGUUUCUUAAAUAAUAUUUAUCAUUUGUGC